UUUUAGUAUGGUAGUGAUAAGCUAUAAUAGAAAAGGGUAAUUAAGUAACUACAAGUUUGACUAUUAUUUAUAUUCAUAGCUGCUUGCAGCUUCCCUUUUGUUGCAACAAUAAUAAAUGACCCCAUUUGGCUAUUUAGCACCUGAUGAGGUUUGACAUAUUGCAACGCUGAAUCUUGAAGAAGAAGAAGAAGAAAAUGGGUAUGCUUAAGGAAUCAGUAUCAGUAUUGAUAAGCGUGCUUAUGAGGAAAAGUAGAAGCAUGUUUGAUGAACUUGCUUACUUAUUGGUAGACGUAUUAUCAAUUUUGGUAUCAGCUAUCAGAUUUUAUUCUCAUUCUAAUAGCUUGCAUUUCCGCCAAUCCACCACUGCAUCUAUUAACCCCAGGUACUACUCUCCCAUGGCUGCUCGGCAUGAUCGCUAACCAUAUACUCCAUUUACACCCACUAUAACAUUUACAUAUAUGUAUGCUGUUUCCUGUCUGUAUGAUGCAGUUCUCAUCGUGUAUCAUGAAUUAAUAAUUAAUUUUUAUUUUUUUUUGUAUUUUUUCCGAUGAUUAUAUAAUAAGAUCAUUAAUUAUGCACUAUUUGUUAUGUUAGGUAAAUUUGUAUUAAUUGUGUUUUUUUUUUAGUAAAAUUGAUUCUUUAAAAACAAGAUGGAACGAAAUGGACCAAAGGUCAAUCAAGAAUGCUUCAAGUUAUUUAAUCUACUUGAGUAGCAAAAUUUUAAAUCUGGUACCACACCUCUUAGUGAGGCUCAGAUUGCAAAAUACAAACAUCUUCCUUCUUAUUCUCAACUGAUUCUUGAUUGGAUAUAAAGAUCGACUUCUAUUUAUGGCCAGAAACUAAUCAAUGGACGGGAAAAGAAACUCUUAGCAAACAUGAAUCUCGGAUUUAUUUGUUUUGUGAUAUAGUAACUAUAAAAUCUCAUAUGUGCUUAUAAAUUCAUAAUGCAGUCAUAUUUUUAUUGCCUUAUUUGAAUUAACAGUCAUAGUGUUCUUUGCCUAAUUUGAAUCACCCACUCCAAGUAUUAUAUACAUAUAGCCCACGAAAAUACUUCAUUUAUAAAUGUAUUAUCCCUGAGGAGUUGAUCAAACAAAGGGGAAUUAUAAUUAGUUGAAGGUUCCCAUUUUAGGAUGGAUCAAUAUUGGUGUCACCUAGAAAAUGCGGCGAGACAAGAGUUCCAAGUGGCUACAGGAUAACUAGGACCUACAAUUCAUAAGGUUUAAGCGUGGGAACCACUCUGAUGCUAGUAUUUGAGUAAGGUUAAUACGCUCCAAGAAAUAUAGCCAUCCCUACCCCCUCACGUCAAUCCCGUAAUAGUGUUUGAAUGAUGAUAAUAGCAUUACAUUUGAAGUGUCUCUUAUUAUAGUAAAAUUUUAUAGGCAUAUACUCAAAACGAAAUAAAAUUUAUGACUAUAAGGAGAUCGUUACUUAAUAGAGAUUUGUAGUAUCCUUCGGUUAUAAUAAAAUUUUAUAGCCAUAUACUUGAAACUAUAAGUAUAACUUAAUAGAGGUUUGGAGUGUUCCUUAGUAAAGUAAAAUCUUAUACGAUAAAGGAGAUUAUAACUUAAUAGAGGUUCGAGUACUAAUUUUUCUUUUUUAUUUAAUACUUAAUCUUGUUAGUAAAAUGAUAGUAACCAUAGAUAAGAUACGUUAGUAUCUUAUCAUUUUGUACAAAUAAGAUUGAAGAGAUAAACAACAAUAUAGUAAAACAAAACAAAACAUAACAUUUAUUUUUUAAAAAUAUAUAUAUAAAAAUAUUAUUAUAUAGAAAAAGAUUUUCUUAUAGGACUUAAAAAAUUUAUAACACAUUAUAAAAUAAUAUUACAAAGAGAUAUUCCUCUAUUUAUAGGAAUUGUCUAAGAAAUAAUCCUAUAAGAAUUAAUCCUCGCAUAGAUGGUAGAUAAUGGUGCAUAAAAAGAGGAGAGACACGAGCUUUAUAUUCUAAAGAAAUGGUGAUAAUGGUAUUUACAAUGUUUAGAACUCGCUAUGCUUUCUUGUUAUAAGGCGAGUUAUUGGAAUGGGAUGACUCUUAUAGAUGAGUCUCCAUCAAAGAUUUAAUGAAACAUUUAUCCAAAUCUCUUUCUGUUUACACUAUAUUUGGCAAAAAAAAAGGGUAAGAUAAAGUAAGGUUUUUAACUAUAAUCUCCUUAAACCACUAAUUUGAUUUUGAAAAUUUUUAAAAACUUUCAAAAAUCUCACCUCAUAAUCGAAACUUUCUUCCUAGCUGGAAUUGGAGAUUUAAAAACUCUAUAAAAUCUUUAAAGACCUUGAAGAAAAUCCAUCCAAACAUGGUGUUAGUUUUUGUAUUAUUAGUUCACUCCAUUGGAGUAGACUUGCCUGAAAUGAGUGUAUUACACACAGCAAAUAGUAGAAUGUGCUGGAUAGAUGUUUGGUAAACACUCGGGCUAUGUGGAAAUCAUUUUAUUGUUUGGGUGCAAUACUGGCUAUGUAGGUUAUUAUUUGUUUUAUUGUAUUUCAUUAUGUUCUUCCAGCUUAUUGGAUGCACAGUAAAACAUUAGUCCAAUUUCAAAAGUACCAAAAGAUAAAUUGAGAAAUUUGAAAAGCAAAGGGGAAAAGAGAAAAAAGAAAUAAAAAUCAAGAGGUUUCAACAUUAACCUUAUUUACAUCUCUCCCUAAGAUUUAUGGUCUUGUACAAAACAAUAAUACAUUGGUACUUAGAAUGAAAAAAAGGUUUUCUAAGAGAAUUGAACUAGGAGAAUUGAUUAGCAGUAAAUGAAGUUAUAUAACCAGUGUUCUGAUCUCUUAAAUGUCUAAAAGAAGUACUAUAUUUUAUUUUGGAAUCUCACACAGUACACGACCGUUCUUGAAAUAUAGCUGUGCUCUAGGUUGUGUCAAGUUCUUGCAUUUCUAUCUAAAACUGGAGUUAAAAUGAGUCUUGAAUGCAUGGUGAUGGUGCUUGAAGGAAUACCGGUCAUGUCUUGGACUGUGUUGAAACUUGUGGCUCCUGUCCGAAAAAGGCUUUUCAGAAAAUGAACCGCGUACCUACGUCAUUUGGGACAUACGAGCAGUGUCUUGAUUAUUUUUCCUGAUUGUUUUAAUUUUAGUUUAUGCUGCAAUUUGAUCUCUGUAAAUAUCCUCGUAUAAACCCUUAAAAUGAUAUGUCACAAUUAGUUAAGUGUUUGUAAAUACCAAAACAUGUUUGUGGUUCAAACAAUUAGGUCUUCAAUUCCUUUUAUUCUCGUCAAUCUAGCUGCUUCUGAUUCUUCCUCCUUGCUUGCAUCGUCGUACAAGAUGAAAUUCUCCGUUAAAGCAGAGUGAUACAUAUGUAUAAAUAAUUUACACUGAGUCAGCCCUACUUCUAAUUUUUUGGUUGGUUAACACAGCUUUGUAUUGAUAAAUCGAGUUAACACACUCCAUGCUUGGAAGACGGGGUGGUUAGCCAUUUUGCUCGUCUUCAUGCUUGUAUUAUUUGAGAAUUGAGAGUGUCAAAAGAUUCUCAGCUUUAAAAUUUAGUUAAUCCCCCCAAAGAAUCUGGAGCUGCAAGUAUCUACUGCAAAGAAACUGGACUGUCGUACUGGAGAGAAGUGUUUUUGGAGCAUUUAUCAGCUGAAAACAUUAAUGUAUUGUCAUCGUCUUCUUUUGUUCUUUUUGGUAUGUCCUUCACAAAUCAUGCCUUUCAACCUCUAUUGCUUUUUUUGGUCCAUAUGCAAUCUCUUUUUCUACUGGUUAAUUUCCUUGUAAUCACUUGGUCUGUAUAAUAUCUAAAGAAGUUCGAAACUGGAAUGGAUCGGGUGCUAAAUUUGAUGCACGUAACUCUAUCUGGACUGGGAACAAACUUGAAUUAGGGCAGGCAGAUUCUAAUAAUACUAGCUAAGCAGGCUGGCUUCACUUGCAAUCAUAAUUCUGAUAAUGUGUCUACUACUUUUAGAUUAUUGGUAGUGAGCAUUGUUUAUCUUUUGUGGUUUCUUUAAAUCAGCAUUGUGCUGUUCUGCCGGCAGAGAGAAAAUUAAGUCAGUUUUGAUGGACCUGUUUAUAUGAACCAAGAACUAAUUAGCAAUAAUAAGAAGAAAAACAACAGUAAUUCAAUUCCAUCGGUUUGUAAUGCCGCCCUAUGAAAAUUUCAAGCUGAAAACUGGCUAAUCACAAGCAGAUAGCAAACAAAAUCCAAUCUCAAUAUAAUAUAACAUCGCUGGACUCAGUUAUUCAUCAAUCAAUGUGUUCAUAAUAAUGAAAGUACAGUAAUUUUAACUUCAUGUUUUAUGCAGUUCAUACAGUAAGGGUGAUGAGACAGGAGCUGACCAAUGCAAUGGCACAGCCACACAGAUCCGAUCACCCGUACUUCUAUUCUAACAUUCUAAAUACUCUUGAAGAAAAGCAUUGUGAUGUUUACAUUUUACCCAGGUUUGCAGGGCCAAUCUGAUUGCAGUUCUUCUGUAAAGCCAAAGAAAACAAUAAAAAUUUGGAGGAGACCCAAUGAGAUUGUAGCGUCAUUCAUAAGAUUGCCACACGGUCCAAAGGAAAACAUAAAUGGUCAAAGAUAAUGUAGACCCCAGAAACAGGUUUCAGCAAGAGACAACGAGAUGUUGACUCAUCCCUUUUAUUACAGGGAUUCGUAGAGAGACCUAUUUAUAUUUUCAUAAUGCACUUGCUAUUGACAUGAAAUGAUACAGAAAUAGCUCUGCCGAUUUGUGAAUGAUCAGCAGGCAGACAGCUUUAUCUAUAUUCAAUAUAAAGGCUUCACAUCUUUGACAUUGUGUAGUCCAUUGCAUCGACAAGGAAAUCUGCAACCACAGGAUUCAAGUGCACGUAGUUGGUAACGGUAUGGUUGCUAUGGAAUUUAUUAACGAUAGAAUUGAUUUGAUAAUCAGCAUAGGAGAAGAAUUAUAUACCUGCAUCUUGUUUAGUGAAACAGAGGGGAGGUGUAAUUCUAAACACAUUUCCAUAGAAUCCACCUUUUCCAACCAAGACGCCAAUUUCUGCAACAAAAACAAGUGUAUUAAAACCGGAAGUUACCUUAAAACAUAGCUAGACCAUAUGAAAUACAGACCUUUCAUCUGGUCCAUUAUAUGUAAAGUUUCAGCCUUUGCAGGAGUUUUCUGUUGGCGGUCAGUUACUAGUUCAACUCCCAGCAUCAAUCCUUUUCCCCUCACAUCUCCAAUAACUAAGCAAAUCAGUUAUAAUACAGUCAGCGACUCUUCUAAGCAGAAAUUCAACCAUUACUUUGACACGAGUACAAGAUAAAAUAAGCUGAAUUAUAAUGCAUAAACAAGUUCCAAAUGAUAAGAGUCAGGCAGUUGAAUUACUUUCAUAUUUAUCUUUGAGCUCAUUUAGUCUGUUUUUCAGGUGGGACCCCACAAUUGAUGCAUUUUCCUGAAGAUUUUCUUUCUCAAUCACUCUCAGAACAGCAAGCCCAGCAGCAGUACAUACAGG
rnacentral:lncRNA from 1 species